GACGAAGGUGGCGAGCGUUGUUCGGAAUCACUGGGCAUAAAGCGCACGUAGGCGGCGACGUAAGUUGGGUGUGAAAUCCCUCGGCCCAACCGAGGAACUGCGCCCAGUACUGCGUUGCUUGAGGAUCCAAGGGGUGCAUGGAAUUCCCGGUGGAGCGGUGAAAUGCGUUGAUAUCGGGAGGAACUCCGGCGGCGAAGGCGGUCUGCUGGGGUCGAACUGACGCUGAGGCGCGACAGCGUGGGGAGCAAACAGG
rnacentral:rRNA from 1 species